GACGAACGCUGGCGGCGUGCUUAACACAUGCAAGUCGAACGGAAAGGCCUGCUUUCCCUUGUGGAUUGCGGGUACUCGAGUGUCGAACGGGUGAGUAACACGUGAGUGAUCUGCCCCCAACUUGGGUAUAAGCCUGGGAAACUGGGGCUAAUUCCCGAUAGGACUGCAGGGUGGGGCGUGUGGUGGAAAACGAUUUGGUAGGGGUUGGGGAUGAGCUUGGGGCCUAUCAGCUGGUGGGUGGGGGAAUGGCCUACCAAUGCGGCGACGGGUAGCCUGCCUGGGGGAGUGGGCGGCCACAUGUGGACUGAGAUACGGCCAAGAAGCCUACGCGCGGCAGCCUUGGGGAGUCUUGAACAAUGGACGGAAGCCUGAGGCAGCGACGCUGCGGGGGCAACGCCGGCCUUCGGGUUGUGACCUCCUUUCGACAGCCAGGAAGCCACCUGGUUGGAAGGGUGGUGACGGUAGUGGUAGAAGAAGCACCGGCUAACUACGUG
rnacentral:rRNA from 1 species